rnacentral:rRNA from 1 species
ACGCUCGACACCUACGGGGGCAGCAGUGGGGAAUAUUGCACAAUGGGGGAAACCCUGAUGCAGCGACGCCGCGUGGAGGAAGAAGGUCUUCGGAUUGUAAACUCCUGUUGUUGGGGAAAAAGAGGAUGGUACCCAACAAGGAAGUGACGGCUAACUACGUGCCAGCAGUCGCGUAAUCUGAGCGGGCUGGCAAGGC